CGGGUGGAAGGCGCGGCCUGAUUGGCCGACCGGUCCGCGACUCGUCUCUCUGAUUGGCCCGCGGGACCGCACCCAUCCUGCAAUGGCCGCUUUGUCGUUUCACGGCGCCGUUACUCUCUUCCUCUCUCUCUCUCUCUCUCUCUCUCUCUCUCUCCCUUCCCCCCCUCUUUCUCCUCUCUUUCUGUAUACGCGCCUGUACGCUUCAGCCACGAAGCUUCAACAACCCCGUGAAUCGCGACUCGACUGUACCUACCUAUCUACCCCUUUCCCUUGCAUCUCUUUUUAUUCUCCUUUUCCUCUUUCUCGCGAUCUUUCUCCUCAUUUUACCUAACCGCCGCGUCUUCGUCGCACGUAUCCUCGACGUUUCUUUUCUACCUUUGGUGUUGUCUCUUCUAGAGAUUCCUUUGCCACCCUUGUUACAUGGACCACUGUUAUCCCUCUAACCUUCGUCACCCUGGUUUCUCCAGUUACAUACCUACCUAUACAAAAAUAUAUUUAGUAGCGUGUAUGUACCUACGUGCAGCGGACAUUUAUGCACAGACACUCAUGGACGUUAUCGUACGUGCACACCCACGUGUCAGGCAUGGUUCGCACGUAUGUUGUUCGUGAAAGGAUACAGUGACGCGAAGGAUUAAGGAGAACGAGGCAGAGAAGAAGCAAGGACGGAGGGGUAAAUCACGAUGCGAGGAUGAGGGACGAGGAACAGGGAGAGAAAGGGAAGUUUGUCCCGGGUCCGCCAUGCGGAAACCUAUCUCAGCCUGGUACUCCACGAGUCCGCGUUACUUAACGAAAACUAUCGCCAAUGUUACUCUCAUCUCGGCACGGUCGAUAAGAAGGAAAGUAUUCCUGCUGUGUCGUCACGAAGACGAAGAACUUAAUGAGGAAGCGUCGGGCGCAUUCAGUGGAUUCAAGCAAAUUUCUUGCAUGCCGGCUUAAUUUUAUCCAACAUUUCUUCCUUGCCCAUACACGCGCCUCUCUAUACCAUCCAGCAGCGUCUUUUCUGAGCCGAGCGUCAAAUAAAUUUUGCUCUAUUUAUUCUAUCAAUCUUGUAAAAAGACUUGGACUCGUAGCAUAACUACCAGCUUCGGGCAGAAUCACUUUCAUUAAAGCGAAAGGAUAAUUAAAAUAACAUGACCACUGAUUGCAAUAUUUUCCACGAACAACGCCAAUGAGUUUGCAUGCACGCAUAUGCAAAAAAUGAAGGAGUCGAAUGGAAAAUAAAUAUUUGAGGCUCGACUGUGCACAGCUUAAGACACCGAGCAUGGAGCUCGCGCGAUGCAUUGUUUCACAAGAUUGUAGAGAGGCCUCUUUACGCCACCCCGGCACCGCGUUGCUUCCUGCUGCCGGCUUUUAAAGUAUGCUUAUUUACCGCAAGCCGUCGAAUCAAUCGCUUUGCACGUCGGAGAACGUAGACGCAAGUGGAUGCUAAUAACCUGAAGAAAAUGGUGUUGCUAUAUGUAUUGCAUCGCAACUAAUGGAAAAUAUCAUAGGUACGAAUUGCCGUGUAUCUUUUCAUAUUAUUCUUACGAUAAAUUGCAAUUAUUAUUUUGUACGGACUAGUUGACGCUAAUAACAUCGCAUCGAGGGUUUGAAGUU